UGGGGAAUAUUGGACAAUGGGCGCAAGCCUGAUCCAGCCAUGCCGCGUGUGUGAAGAAGGCCUUCGGGUUGUAAAGCACUUUUGUUGGGGAAGAAAAGCACUGGGUUAAUACCCUGGUGUUCUGACGGUACCCAAAGAAUAAGCACCGGCUAACUUCGUGCCAGCAGCCGCGGUAAUACGAAGGGUGCAAGCGUUACUCGGAAUUACUGGGCGUAAAGCGUGCGUAGGUGGUGAGUUAAGUCUGUCGUGAAAGCCCCGGGCUCAACCUGGGAAUGGCGAUGGAUACUGGCUCGCUAGAGUGCGGUAGAGGAGAGUGGAAUUCCCGGUGUAGCAGUGAAAUGCGUAGAGAUCGGGAGGAACAUCAGUUGCGAAGGCGGCUCUCUGGACCAGCACUGACACUGAGGCACGAAAGCGUGGGGAGCAAACAG
rnacentral:rRNA from 1 species